CUGCCAGUAGCAUAUGCUUGUCUCAAAGAUCUAAGCCAUGCAUGUCUAAGUAUAAACUACUUAAUGGUGAAACUGCGAAUGGCUCAUUAUAUCAGCUAUAGUUUAUUUGAUAGUCCGAAUUACUUGGAUAACCGUGGUAAUUCUAGGGCUAAUACAUGCAAAAUCCGGUGACUCCUCGGGGGAGCCGGAGUAUUAGCGAGAUAAAAAAUCAAUCCUGCAUCUUCGGGUGCAGGAGUUGGGUUGACACAUCGCUACUUUGCGGAGCGCAUGGCCUUGUGCCGGCGCCGAUUCAUUCAAAUUUCUGCCCUAUCAACUUUGAUGGUAGGAUAGAGGCCUACCAUGGUUUUUACGGGUGACGGAGAAUUAGGGUUCGAUUCCGGAGAAGGAGCCUGAGAGACGGCUGCUACAUCCAAGGAAGGCAGCAGGCGCGCAAAUUACCCAAUCCUGAUUCAGGGAGGUAGUGACAAGAAAUAACAAUGCAGGGCUUUUCAAGUCUUGUAAUUGGAAUGAGCACAAUCUAAACCCCUUAGCGAGUAUCCAUUGGAGGGCAAGUCUGGUGCCAGCAGCCGCGGUAAUUCCAGCUCCAAUAGCAUACGUUAAAGUUGUUGCAGUUAAAACGCCCGUAGUCGAAUGUCGGGCCGUUCUGGCAUCGUCCGCCGAAAGGCGUGAAGGGUGUCGGGCGGUCUUUCUUCUGACUGGCGGCCGUGGGCCUGUAAAAGGGUCUACGGUUCCGCUGUCAGGACUUCUCCUUUGAAAAAAUUAGAGUGUUCAAAGCAGGCGUAAGCCUUGAAUACAUUAGCAUGGGAUAGUAAAAUACGACUUGGGUUCUAUUUUAUUGGUUUUAGGGCCGAAGUAAUGAUUAAUAGGGACAGUUGGGGGCAUUAGUAUUCAGUUGUCAGAGGUGAAAUUCUUGGAUUUACUGAAGACUAACUUCUGCGAAAGCAUUUGCCAAGGAUGUUUUCAUUGAUCAAGGACGAAAGUUAGGGGAUCGAAGACGAUUAGAUACCGUCGUAGUCUUAACCAUAAACUAUGCCGACUAGGGAUUGUAGACAGUUGUUUAUGACUCCUGCAGCACCUUAUGAGAAAUCAAAGUCUUUAGGUUCUGGGGGGAGUAUGGUCGCAAGGCUGAAACUUAAAGGAAUUGACGGAAGGGCACCACCAGGAGUGGAGCCUGCGGCUU
rnacentral:rRNA from 1 species